rnacentral:rRNA from 1 species
AAAACUUUCAACAACGGAUCUCUUGGCUCUCGCAUCGAUGAAGACCGCAGCU